rnacentral:misc_RNA from 1 species
GAUGAAGAACGUAGUGAAAUGCGAUAAUUAAUGUGAAUUGCAGAAUUCAGUGAAUCAUCGAAUCUUUGAACGCACAUUGCGCCCGCCAGUAUUCUGGCGGGCAUGCCUGUCCGAGCGUCAUUUCAACCCUCGAACCCCUCCGGGGGGUCGGCGUUGGGGAUCGGGAACCCCUAAGACGGGAUCCCGGCCCCGAAAUACAGUGGCGGUCUCGCCGCAGCCUCUCCUGCGCAGUAGUUUGCACAACUCGCACCGGGAGCGCGGCGCGUCCACGUCCGUAAAACACCCAACUUCUGAAAUGUUGACCUCGGAUCAGGUAGGAAUACCCGCUGAACUUAAGCAUAUCAAUAAGCGGAGGA